rnacentral:lncRNA from 1 species
ACAUCUACUAUCAUUAUUCCUGCUGGAAACAUGAAGUCUUUGGGAGGCUCAGAGAGGGUAACUAACUUGUCCAGAGUGUCACAUUGCUAGUUCAGUAGCAGAACUAAGAUUUUUUUUUUUUUUUUUGAGACAGGGUCUCACUCUGUCGCGGCACCUGGAGUGCGGUGCUGUGAUCACAGCUCACUACAGCCUCAACCUCCCAGGCUCAAGCAAUCCUCCAGCCUCAGCCUCCUGAGUAGCUGGGACUGCAGGCAUAUGCCACCACGCCCAGCUAAACUUUUUUUUUUUUUUGGAGAGACUGUGUCUCACUCUAUUGCCCAGAGGAAAACAGGCCAGCAAGCAUCUGCACCAGGAGGCCAGGCCUUCUGGAAAUGUGUUGGACAGCGAUGGGUCCACACUUCCGCCUUGGCUCCUGAAUGUGGCAUAGCCAACCCAUGAGAGAUGUCAGUUGACAAAGAGCAUGAGGAUCAGGCCAUGGCCUUGUGACACAGUGGAUGAACACCUGGCUGAAGAAACCCAGGAGAGAGAAGCACUGGACACUGGCUUCUGGGCUUAGCUGCUUGGACUCUGGCCAAGGUCUGGGGAUGUCCAGGACAAUCAGCUUUCUGCUUCUGUGCCCAUAAACUCGGGGUAUGGACUCAUUUCCAGUGCUGAGAAGUUCUGAAAUUGCAAAAGAUUCUUCCUAGCAAGUUCUCGACCUGUCUUCUAACUACCCUGCCAUGUGGCCCUCUCUGGGCCUCAGUUUCCCAUCUGUGAAUGAAAGCACUAGACUCGAAGGGUCCCUUCUGGCUCCUCUAACUCCAACCGAGAGGCACAGCUCAGGCUGAGCAGUUGCAUUUCCUCAUCACGGGGGACUGACAGGGAUCUUUUGCAAUGCUCAAUUCUAACAUCAAAAUUCCCCCAAAUAUUCCUUUUUUUUUCUUUUUUCGAGACAGAGUCUCACUCUUGUCGCCCAAGCUGGAGUGCAAUGGCACAAUCUCAGCUCACUGCAACCUUCCCCCCCGCCGGUUCAAGUGAUUCUCCUGCCUCAGCCUCCCGAAUAUCUGGGACUACAGGCGCACGCCACUAUGCCAGCUAAUUUUUUUGUAUUUUUAGUAGAGACAGGGUUUCAUCAUUUCGGCCAGGCUAGUCUCGAACUCCUGACCUCAGGUGAUCUGCCUGCCUCGGCCUCCCAAAGUGUUGGGAUUACAGGUGUGAGCCACCUCACCGGCCCCAAAUAUUUAUUUGAAGACAUUGAUUCAGGAUGCUUCUAGCCAUUAAAUUUGAUUUGCAAAUGAAUUUUUCUGGAUCACCUCACAGGCCCUGGGGAAUGGCCAGGGGUCUGGGUGGCCAUAUUUUCCGAAUAAAGCUCAAAACCAAAACUUUGGUUUUGCCUUUUCUUAAAUCACUGCUAGGUGCUCAGGGGCAACCAGAACAGUGACAUGCUGGAAUUCCUUGUGACUUCUUGGGAAAGUGGGACUGUCCAGUACAGCAUGAGUGGCCUGGGGAGGGCACCAGGUGCCUGGGAUGGGGGGACUAGUCCCCCAGAAGACAAGUUUACCCCUGUACAGCCAGCGUCACACUGGGUACUCAACACCAUAACAGCUAACACUAUUGUGUGCUGCCACUAUAUGCCAGGUGCUAUCCUUGAUAUGAUUUUCUCAUUUAAUCCUUGCAUUUACUCUCUAACAUGGAUCCUCUUAUUAUCCUCCUUUGACAGAUGAGGAAACAGAGAUAAAGAGAGAUAAAGUAGGUCAAAAUCACUUGUUCUAGGUCCC